rnacentral:rRNA from 1 species
UGGGGAAUAUUGGGCAAUGGGGGAAACCCUGACCCAGCAACGCCGCGUGAAGGAAGAAGGCUUUCGGGUUGUAAACUUCUUUGACAAGGGACGAAACAAAUGACGGUACCUUGAAAACAAGCCACGGCUAACUACGUGCCAGCAGCCGCGGUAAUACGUAGGUGGCAAGCGUUGUCCGGAUUUACUGGGUGUAAAGGGCGCGUAGGCGGGGCAGCAAGUCAGAUGUGAAAUGCCAGGGCUUAACCCUGGAGCUGCAUUUGAAACUGUUGCUCUUGAGUAUCGGAGAGGCAGGCGGAAUUCCUAGUGUAGCGGUGAAAUGCGUAGAUAUUAGGAGGAACACCAGUGGCGAAGGCGGCCUGCUGGACGACAACUGACGCUGAGGCGCGAAAGCGUGGGGAGCAAACAGG